UACGGAGGGUGCAAGCGUUAUCCGGAUUCACUGGGUUUAAAGGGUGCGUAGGUGGGUUUGUAAGUCAGUGGUGAAAUCUCCGUGCUUAACAUGGAAACUGCCAUUGAUACUAUAGAUCUUGAAUUUUCCGGAGGUCAGCGGAAUAUGUCAUGUAGCGGUGAAAUGCUUAGAUAUGACAUAGAACACCGAUUGCGAAGGCAGCUGACUACAGGAACAUUGACACUGAGGCACGAAAGCGUGGGGAUCAAACAGG
rnacentral:rRNA from 1 species